AAAAAAACAAAACCAAGCAACUUUCACAAGAAAGCAAAUAUUGAGAUUUCCUGUGCACUGCUUCCAAACCUCAGUCAGAGGCACAUAUACUGUAUUUCAUCCAGGCAAGGCUGUUGAAGCAGAAAUUGACUUCUGAUACUGUUUCCAUCUGGGAUUCUGAUGACAGGAUUUGAUUAGAAACUGGGCCUGUACAGUCGGUAUCUGGCAUCUACAUGUUCCUUUUUUCAAGGCACUACUUAGUUCUCCCGAUGUCCUGCUCCGCGUAAACAGUGAGUUUUAGCCCCUGAUUGUUUUUCUCCUCAUUCCCAUCCUCUGCUGUUUCUACUCCACAAUAUUUUUGGCAAUUGUUGCUCAAUGAUGUGGCAUCACAGGAAGGAGACAGCGCGCAGGAAUCAGACAGGACUCGGGCGGGUCAUUUCCAACAUCACUCCCUUCCUCCGAUUCUAUCCCAGGCUUUGGACUGAUGGACUGUUGGCCCACAACAGUAAGAUAGUAUCUCUUAAUUUUGACGUUUGUGAAGCUCCUGUUCCUCCUGGAGCAUACAGUGAAUCGAGAGAGGGUCACAGCCUAGCAUUUGCUCGUAAGAGGGAGGAAAACGGAAGGGAGGAAGGAGAUGAAGCAAAGAUGAGAACAGGAAGGAGGGACAGGAAAAAAUGAGGAGGGUCAGAAAGGAAAGUAGGACAGAAAAAGCAGACACACACAAAUUUUAAGCAAAGAUUGAAGACGCUGAAUGACCUUUCAGCAAGGGCAUGGAGAAGGAGGGGCAAAUUCUUAAAACGCAGAGGAGAAAUCUCUGCAGUUCGUGAACAAGCAUGGCGGAAGUGAAAUCUGCUCAAUAGUUCUUGAGUUGGGUUACGGUAUUUGCCAAGUAAAUGGGAUGAAUACCGGGAUGGUUAUUUGAAAACAAUGGUAAAAGUCUGAGGUAAAGCACUUGAAAUACAUUUGGCAGGAAAUAACUUCCGUCUCUACUUGUGGGCAUGGACACUGAAAGUCACAUCAUUCACCGUCGUUCAUAUCAUGGUGAGGUGCUUUCGAGACGAUCACGAGGAGCCAGAAAGCAUCUCUUCAUCUCCAGAUUUAAAGUAGAUGGUUUUGCACGUCACAUAAGAUUACGUGAGAAUUUCGUUGGGAUUUUUUGUCUAACGAGUUAUAUAACAGGUUUGUGCUGUGUGUGAGGAAGGGACAAGUUCUGUUGCCCCGGUCGCAUGUGGGUGGGCGGUGACGGGGCUGGCAGGAAAGAGGAGUCUUUCUUCAUCCGUAUUGUACAGGCAAGGACCCACAUCCUCUGUGCUCCGGGGGACCUCGAGCUUCAAGAGGCUGAGGGGGUCCUGGAGGUUGCAGAGUUCUCUUGAACAAUCCAGUCUCUUCUCUGCCUCUGAGAUAAUUCCCGGAAUUUGAGUUAGACCUAGAAGGAGUUAUUAGCAAUUCUAAAAGUCGACCUUUCAUCUUCAGGAGUAAGAACUGUUAAAGGUGUCUCCUGAGACAGACAGUGGAGAAGCAGAGCCCAUAUGAAAACACAGGGCAAGUGAUCGUUAGUGUAAUGUUUGUCUCACAUCCGCAAUGGCAAUCAAUGUGUGUUCCACAAAGUUCUAGGCUGACACCAGACCCCCAGUCCUCAUUCCACAGAGCAGGCCUACUUUUAUCUGUUUUAUGUCAAGAUAUUGGGGGGGGGGAUUUUAUUUUAAUAAACGGCCUUGAAGAUUCUUUUUUUUAAUUACUGCUCUGACAUAGGACAUUUACGUUAUUGAAUUACGUUAAUAACCUCUUGCUCUCUGCAAAAGCCAUCGCCGCCCAGCUGAGCAGCUAUGCCUGAGGUUUUGGCCAAAACCCUGUAGCACUGAAAAGCCUCUCCUUGACCAGGGAACCAACAUAUGCUGACAGCAAGCAAGGCCACUGUGCUCUUAUCAGGACAGGGGAAGAGCUCUUAACGCCCCCCAAGCAAAGUGCCCUAGCCCGAAUACUGCUUACAACAGACAAUUUAUUAGAAAAACUAGGUAGGCUUUAAUUCAGGUUUUUAAAAAUGUACACU